UACGAAGGGGGCGAGCGUUGUUCGGAAUCACUGGGCGUAAAGGGCGCGUAGGCGGCCCUCUUAGUCGCGUGUGAAAGCCCCGGGCUCAACCUGGGAACGGCGCGCGAAACGGGAGGGCUGGAGUUCGGGAGAGGAGAGUGGAAUUCCCAAUGUAGAGGUGAAAUUCGUAGAUAUUGGGAAGAACAUCAGUGGCGAAGGCGGCUGCCUGGCCCAAUACUGACACUCAGGUGCGACAAGCGUGGGGAGGCAAACAGG
rnacentral:rRNA from 1 species